rnacentral:lncRNA from 1 species
GCAGAAUGCAAGGUGGGAGCACUCCUUCAUCCUGAACUGGGAUUUUAUGUCCACUUGAACCCAAGGGCAGCCCAUGUGUAGAGGCUCCAUGAGGCCUACGUGGGAGGGGGUAGGAGAUGAUGGGAUGGUGGGAAUACAGGCCUCUGAGGAACGAGGCUUGAGGGGGAAGGGGUCGUGGUUGCAAAAUCACGAUUCCCGUUUGGCCCAGGCACGGCCCCACCACAUCCCCCACUUCCUGUGGGAGGAGCUUGUCACAAGACGGCAGCUCUGCGUGGGAGUCGUCGGCCCCGGCUGUGUGGCCCCUCUGUAUCUCACUGUCCUUGUUUCUAAAUGGAGAAAAUAAUAGUACCUACCUCAUCAUGUUGUAAGAUUGCCUUAGACCCUGUCACUGACACGUGGAGCCUGGACACAAUAAAACUUGACAAAGGACCACAAAAAUUGAUUAUCAUUGUCAAGCAGAAUAUAAAAGAAAAACCCAGAUGAUGGCCAGAGGGAGCAGGCUGGGGGAAGAGAAGAGCUGCCGUGGCCUCCACUCACCGCGAGGACGCGUACUGUCCGCGGCGGAUGGAAGACAGCAAGUCUCUAUUUAUGGCUGUAAAUGUAACCAAUAUGAAAACGAAAAGUCAUGAUUUGGAGGAAGUGGGGUUAGGGUAAAUGAGUGAAAUUCUCAUUUUUUAACAGUGCAGAAUCAGUAGAUAUUGUCUCAAGACGACGAGCGAAGAAGUGAAGAUGUAAGCCAUGACCAGCAGUUGUGAUGUUCUGGAGGCUAGAAGUUCAAAAUCCAGGUGCCAGCAGGGCACCCUCUGAAACCUCUGGGGAGCAUCCUUCCUGGCUUCUUCCCGCUGCCUCCACCGCCGCCUGGCGCUCUCCCUGCGCGCGCUUCUGUCUUCUCCCCUCCUUGUGAGGACACCAGUCAUGCUGGCUUAGGGCCACCCUGAUUCACUGCGUCCUCAUCUCAACCUGACCACGUCUGCAAAGACCCUAUUUCCAAAGAAGGCCACACCCACAGGCUAACACAUCUCCGCUGGGGCAUCUCAUCCGGGCGGACGGAACAGGAUGCGGAGCCUUGACUCUCCUGGCAGGGAAGGACUUGCUGGUUCUGCUGUCCAGCUGCACCGCUGGAAGGAAGAGGAGGCCAAAACCUCGUGUGACUGUCUGAGGACACACAGCAAGUCCUGGACCCCAGGCUCCCUGUUUUCUUCAAUAACUGGUCUGUGCUGGCUCUUGGAGGCGCUGAGGCAGGGCACAGAGGCUCUCAGGCGUAUUGACAGAGGCCACUUGUGUCCCUCAUGCCCCCAAAGAUCUGAGGAGGGGGCUUCUGACAGCGGCCAGCUCCUCCCUUUCUCAGCCUCCCUUAUGGGUCAGGUGACCACAUUCUGGCCAAUGAGACCUAAGGGGACAUUUGCUUUUCCCUCCCUGAUACAAGUUAAGGAGCAUUUGAAGACAUGAUGUACAAAUCUGGAGUAGCCAUCUCCUGCCGGAUGUGAAGGGAGGUGGCACCAACAGCCAAGGGGACGGAGUGAUGGCAGAGAGGCUCUUUAGUGACACUGCUGAGCACUGAGCAUGCCUGGGAACAGCCUGCCUCCCGAGUUCUUGUUUUUUGGGUGAAGUCACAAAAUGUCUACAUUGACCAAGCCACUGCUAACUGGCAGCCAAAGUCCCUGGAAGGCCCAGGAGCCUUGCCUUGACCAGAGCUUCAGCACAGUCUGCACUCAGGUGGCCCCUGAAAGAGUUACUCAGCUUUCCUGGUCCUCAGCAGCCCGUUUUGUAGGUCAGCCCAGCUGGCUGUCAAGCUUACUCCAGUGACCACCUCAGGCAAGACGAGUGGUGCUCUGUGAAUUCAUUCACUCACUCAUUCGUUCACUCAUUCAUGAAUUGGUUCACUCAGCAGACAUGUGCUGAAAGCUACAGCAAUACACAAAUGAACGAGCCCUUAUGGGAGACGCUGUGCCUUGUCCCGAUCACACAUACCCCACACCGCGCUGGACAGUGUUGACCCUGUUGCCUGAUCAUCU